GGAGGAUACGGCUAAAGACAGAGGCUCCAGCUACCUUGGUGACAAGGAAUGGAGGAGAAAAUGAACAGGAAAUUUUAAUAAGAUUACGAGGGCUUGCUUUUCUGCCAAGUGAGCCGCUUUCACAGGAGCGAUAAAUUGGAAAUGUUAUCUGGCUUGAUAUGCCAGUUUUUCUGAGAAAAUCACUCUGCCAGUGGUGAGAGAACGGAAGAGCUGAAAACAUCUUCUUUUUUCAAAGUCAUAUGUCACAAACCAAGGAGACUCCAAAAAAUAAAUUAUGGAAGAUUAUGACCACUGCUGCCAAGGAUACAGUGAAAUAGGUACAUCUUGUAUGCCCAGUAAUGUUGAAAAUUAAUAUAACCUUAUUUAAAAAGCAAUUUGGAGAUGUUGAAAGAAAGCCUGAAGACUACCACCAUGCUUCAUGAUUCUAUCCAGGUGUCCCACAUAUGAGAGCCAAUUCCAAAGAAAUAACUACAACUUGGAAAAAACUAUAUGCAUAAAGAUGUUCAUUAUGGUGUUAGCUACAGCAGCAAAACAAAAAAAAAAUCACAGAAAAUAUUUGCAAGAAUUCCCAAAUAGAAAAUUAUUAAGUCAGCUAUGACACUUUCCCAGUAGGAUAUUAUGCAGCACUUAACAUGAAAGUCACUAAGUUUACAUGGAAAAAUACCUGAAGCGUAAUCUUAGGUUAAAAUAAAUCUAAAUAUACUUAUAUGCUAUAGUUGCACUUUUUAAAAAAUAUGACAGGCAGCAUGAAAUAUCCAGAAUAGGCAAAUUCAUAGAGACCGAAAGACAGGCAUAGUGGUUGCCACAGGCUGGAGGAAGAAAAGAAUGUGGAGUGACUGCUAAUGCAUAAAAAGGGUUUCCUUUUGGGGUGAUAAAAAUGUUCCAGAACAAGAU
rnacentral:lncRNA from 1 species